GUUGGUGGUGUUACCAGGUGCAGCCUGAGGUGCUCCAUGUGAGAGUCCAUGUUGGUGGUGUUACCAGGUGCAGCCUGAGGUGCUCCAUGAGAGAGUCCAUGUUGGUGGUGUUACCAGGUGCAGCCUGAGGUGCUCCAUUUGAGAGUCCAUGUUGGUAGUGUUACCAGGUGCUCGAUGAGAGAGUCUGUGUUGACGGAGUUACCAGGUGCAGUCUGAGGUGCU